ACCUCGCCUCGCACACUCACUGGUUCCGGGCCGGGACAGCACAGUCAGAAAGAUGGUGAAGCCCAAAGCUAUCAGGUGCGCCAAGAUCCCACUGCCUCUCCGCAGCCAGCGGGUCAGUCUCGGCUCCCUCGCUGGAGCGGGAACCAGACCUACCUCCAUGGAAUGCAUAGCAGUGCCAGGCCGGCCGGCACAAUCCAGCUACCAGAGGCUUCUUCCGGGUUUGCUAUCGCGGAGGCGGCGGCGGCUACAGGAGAGGCUCCUCCCCGGGGAAGCUGCGGGGCCGUGUGGCGGAGGUGCCCACAGCGCCCUCUGUAGAGUGGGGGGGAAGCGCCUCGGCCCCAAAGGGCGGCUCCCGGAAACCUCCACUGACCUAAUCGAGCUCCCAACCCACCUUCAUUCUAUCUUUGUGUCUAUAAGGGUAUCUCAAGAGGUCUGCGAAAAUUACAUCGGUAGCAACUGAUACCAGCGAAAUCCCAAAUCACACACUUGAUUCGCUGACCCAAGAGCAUGAAACCAGUGUUCUGAGCAGCUUUCUAGAAGUACUGGAUUCCCUGGACUGCUUACUUCUCAGACAUUUCUGGCUUGUUCAAGAGACAAGAUUUCUCCCUGUAUUAACAUAAAUGAAAAGCCAAAACCUA
rnacentral:lncRNA from 1 species